rnacentral:rRNA from 1 species
UGGGGAAUAUUGGACAAUGGGGGAAACCCUGAUCCAGCAAUGCCGCGUGAGUGAAGAAGGCCUUAGGGUUGUAAAGCUCUUUCGGCGGGGACGAUGGUGACGGUACCCGCAGAAGAAGCCCCGGCUAACUUCGUGCCAGCAGCCGCGGUAAUACGAAGGGGGCUAGCGUUGUUCGGAAUCACUGGGCGUAAAGGGCGCGUAGGCGGCGCGACAAGUCAGGCGUGAAAGCCCCGGGCUCAACCCGGGAAUUGCGCUUGAUACUGUCGUGCUUGAGGCCGGGAGAGGAUGGCGGAAUUCCCAGUGUAGAGGUGAAAUUCGUAGAUAUUGGGAAGAACACCGGUGGCGAAGGCGGCCAUCUGGACCGGUUCUGACGCUGAGGCGCGAAAGCGUGGGGAGCAAACAGG